AAGCACGUAGGUGGGUUUGUAAGUCAGAUGUGAAAGCCUCCUGUUCAACGGGAGAAUUGCAUCUGAAACUACUGAUCUUGAGUGUAGGAGGGGAGAAUGGAACUUCUGGUGGAGCGGUGAAAUGCGUAGAUAUCAGAAGGAACGCCGGCGGCGAAAGCGAUUCUCUGGCCUAUUGCUGACACUCAGUGUGCGAAAGCUAGGGGAGCAAACGGGAUUAGAUACCCCGGUAGUCCUAGCCGUAAACUAUGGGCACUAAGUAGAGGGGUUUU
rnacentral:rRNA from 1 species